rnacentral:rRNA from 1 species
UAUGACAUUCCCAUCCUGAACACGGUCUGGGAAGCUAAGCAGGGUCGGGCAUGCUUAGUACUUGAAUGGGAGCCUUAUGAGGUACUAUAUACAUGUCAGGA